rnacentral:lncRNA from 7 species
AGCUGAUUCCUGAGGGCUGUGUGACUGACGUGGGGCUGCAGAAAUAAAAUGGGUGUGAGCAGAGGGGGAAUGGAGUGUAGCACCUCUGGCUGCUGGACCUUGCCAACUCAGCUGUAGAUGUGUGUGCUCGUGUCUGUUUUCACGUGGGUGGAGCUGAGCAGGGAGGCAGUGGCUGAUGCCUGACUUUUCCUUACUGGUGGGUGUGAAUCCUUCAGCCCCUGCUGAUCUCCUUGCAAGUGAUAGUUCUCCACAACCCAUGCUAGCAGAUGACUGUGAUGGUACCACUUCCAGACAACCACUUAUUAAAAGAAAACAAGGGAUCACCAUUUCAGAGAGCACUGGUGAAAAACUACGAAGAAAGAAAAUCCGUGCCAUCUGAUCUAAGGUAUGAACAAGUAGCUGGACAAAGUGUUUCAUUCUAAAAGUGAACCUGCUAGGUUUCUUUUGCAGGCAGCACCUGAACAAGCUUCAAAUGAUGAUAUAAAUGCAGCUGCACUUUGCUGCAGGCACUGAGAUCCAUCUUGAAAGGAUGGAACCAACUAAACAAGCCUGUGUGGCAAUUUAAAUGAGAAUUAGCUAAGCUAUGUCCAGACUCAGAUGGCUGAGAUUGAUGCCUGUGUGCUACUUCAGUGUCUGGGCACCAGAUUCCUGUGUGCUGUGUCUGGAGACAUCUGUUCAGCUCUGGGGUAAUUUCAAGUAAGUAUUAUGAGGGUAUGUUGAGGAGGGAAGGAAGAAUGACUGAAUGGCAAUUGAUUUUUACACAGCUAUUGCUCUUUGUCUCAUCUGCUGUAUGACAGGAGGGAAGUAGCUGUAUGGUGAAUGAGCCUUCAGGUUUGGCUACAAACACUGAACUAUGUGUAUCUGAAGGCAAUCUAGUUGUGUUUUUUUUUCCUUUAAUCACAGAGAAGUUGACUUGUGCUGUUAACAUACUUGUCCCUACCUGCUUGAACAUUGUUUUGUAUAUAUGGUAAAUAUUCUCAGUAUAUCUGCCAGUUUAGAACUUAGAAUGCAAAACUGAAUCCAUUAACUGGAAGUAAUCUUCCUUGUUAAGAACCAUGACUUAAGCUGGUGCAGAAGUGCUGGAUGCAGAUAGGAGGUCAGCCAGCGAGAACUCUCUCAUCUCACUCCGUGAUGAUAACCUUUCUGUAUUUUCCUUUCUACAUAAAUGAACUAUAUCCACAGAAGUAUAAUUAUCUGAAAUAUGUUGGUACCAACUAGCUGUGAAAGUGCUCAUUCUGCAUGACUGGCACAGAAUAACAGAUUUUCUUAAAAAUACUAAUAAAGGUGGAAAACCUCUU